rnacentral:tRNA from 2 species
GAGGAAAAUCCGUCGAUUUAAAAAAUCGUGAGGGUUCAAGUCCCU